AGAGUUUGAUCCUGGCUCAGGAUGAACGCUGGCGGCGUGCCUAACACAUGCAAGUCGAACGCGCUCCAUUCGGUAGCAAUACUGAUGAAGAGUGAGUGGCGAACGGGUGAGUAACACAUGAGCAACCUGCCCCGAAGACCGGGACAACACCGGGAAACCGGUGCUAAUACCGGAUAUCCCUAUCGGACCGCAUGAUCUGAUAAGGAAAUGGAUUCCGCUUCGGGAGGGGCUCGUGGCCUAUCAGCUAGUUGGUGGAGUAACGGCCCACCAAGGCAUCGACGGGUAGCUGGUCUGAGAGGACGAUCAGCCACACUGGGACUGAGACACGGCCCAGACUCCUACGGGAGGCAGCAGUGGGGAAUCUUGCGCAAUGGGCGAAAGCCUGACGCAGCAACGCCGCGUGGAGGACGAAGGCUUUCUGAGUUGUAAACUCCUUUCAGCAGGGACGAUAGUGACGGUACCUGCAGAAGAAGCACCGGCCAACUACGUGCCAGCAGCCGCGGUGAUACGUAGGGUGCAAGCGUUAUCCGGAUUUAUUGGGCGUAAAGAGCUCGUAGGCGGUUUGAUUAGUCGGGUGUGAAACCUCCAGGCUCAACCUGGAGCCGCCACUCGAUACUGUCAUGACUAGAAUUCGGUAGGGGACCACGGAAUUCCUGGUGUAGCGGUGAAAUGCGCAGAUAUCAGGAGGAACACCAGCAGCGAAGGCGGUGGUCUGGGCCGACAUUGACGCUGAGGAGCGAAAGCGUGGGGAGCGAACAGGAUUAGAUACCCUGGUAGUCCACGCCGUAAACGUUGGGCACUAGGUGUGGGGACUAUUCAACGGUUUCCGUGCCGCAGCUAACGCAUUAAGUGCCCCGCCUGGGGAGUACGGCCGCAAGGCUAAAACUCAAAGGAAUUGACGGGGACCCGCACAAGCGGCGGAGCAUGUGGCUUAAUUCGAGGCAACGCGAAGAACCUUA
rnacentral:rRNA from 1 species